rnacentral:rRNA from 1 species
AGAGUUUGAUCAUGGCUCAGGACGAACGCUGGCGGCGUGCCUAAUACAUGCAAGUCGAGCGAAUCUUUAGGAGCUUGCUCCUGAAGGUUAGCGGCGGACGGGUGAGUAACACGUGGGCAACCUGCCUGUAAGACUGGGAUAACUUCGGGAAACCGGAGCUAAUACCGGAUAAUCCUUUUCUUCUCAUGAAGGAAAGCUGAAAGAUGGCGCAAGCUAUCACUUACAGAUGGGCCCGCGGCGCAUUAGCUAGUUGGUGAGGUAAUGGCUCACCAAGGCGACGAUGCGUAGCCGACCUGAGAGGGUGAUCGGCCACACUGGGACUGAGACACGGCCCAGACUCCUACGGGAGGCAGCAGUAGGGAAUCUUCCGCAAUGGACGAAAGUCUGACGGAGCAACGCCGCGUGAACGAUGAAGGCCUUCGGGUCGUAAAGUUCUGUUGUUAGGGAAGAACAAGUAUCGGAGUAACUGCCGGUACCUUGACGGUACCUAACCAGAAAGCCACGGCUAACUACGUGCCAGCAGCCGCGGUAAUACGUAGGUGGCAAGCGUUGUCCGGAAUUAUUGGGCGUAAAGCGCGCGCAGGCGGUCCUUUAAGUCUGAUGUGAAAG